UACAGAGGUCCCAAGCGUUGUUCGGAUUCACUGGGCGUAAAGGGUGCGUAGGUGGUUAGGUAAGUCCGAUGUGAAAUCUCCAGGCUCAACCUGGAAAUGGCAUUGGAUACUAUUUAGCUUGAGGAGUGGAGGGGGGACUGGAAUUCUCGGUGUAGCAGUGAAAUGCGUAGAUAUCGAGAGGAACACCAGUGGCGAAGGCGAGUCCCUGGACACUUCCUGACGCUGAGGCGCGAAAGCUAGGGGAGCAAACGGG
rnacentral:rRNA from 1 species